rnacentral:rRNA from 1 species
GACGAACGCUGGCGGCGUGCUUAACACAUGCAAGUCGAACGGAAAGGCCCUGCUUUGGUGGGGUGCUCGAGGUGCGAACGGGUGAGUAACACGUGAGUAACCUACCCUUGACUGUGGGAUAACUUCAGGAAGCUUGGGCUAAUACCGGAUAGGAGCUCCUGCUGCAUGGUGGGGGUGGGAAAGUUUCGGCGGUUGGGGAUGGACUCGCGUCUUAUCAGCUUGUUGGUGGGGUAGUGGCUUACCAAGGCUUUGACGGGUAGCCGGCCGGAGAGGGUGACCGGCCACAUCGGGACUGAGAUACGGCCCAGCCCCCUCCGGGAGGCAGCAGUGCGGAAUAUUGCACAAUGGGCGGAAGCCUGAUGCAGCAACGCCGCGUGCGGGAUGACGGCCUUCGGGUUGUAAACCGAUUUCGCCUGUGACGAAGCGUGAGUGACGGUAAUGGGUAAAGAAGCACCGGCUAACUACGUG